GUGUUGGCCGUAGACAAGCUAACAACUCGAAGCGAAGUGCUAAUUAAUUUCGAAUUUCCUUAUCGUCUUUUUAUUCUCAGUCACAAUGUGAUAAGGAAACGAGGUUUUAAUGUGUUUAUUAUUUUUAAAGUCUAAUUUAAAUCUAAUUAUAUUGGUUUAAUUUCGAAUAAACUUAGUGAAAAUCCAAGGAAAUCAGGGCCUUUGGCAACUAACAAACUGUUGGCCAGCAGCAAGCAUCAAAUACUUUCCUAAAAGCGUACCUCAAGGUUCGUACAAAGUUACUAUGGAAUCAAAAUUGAAGGAUGGACGGGUUCUGGCCAGAAUUGCUUUGUACGGGAAAGCCAGUUUGUAUUUCAAGGAUAUUCAAAAUAUGAACAAUACUUCAAAGUAUAACAUAUUUCAAUGAAUAUAUUAAUAUUUGUGAGUUUUGAUUGAUCAGUUAAAAGCUAAGGAUGUGGGAGACAUCUUUUCAAUAAAGCAUUAUACC
rnacentral:misc_RNA from 1 species